rnacentral:rRNA from 1 species
CCUACGGGUGACAGCAGUGAGGAAUAUUGGUCAAUGGGCGCGAGCCUGAACCAGCCAAGCAGCGUGAAGGAUGACUGCCCUACGGGUUGUAAACUUCUUUUAUAAAGGAAUAAAGUGAGGUACGUGUGCCUGUUUGUAUGUAUUUUAUGAAUAAGGAUCGGCUAACUCCGUGCCAGCAGCCGCGGUAAUACGGAGGAUCCGAGCGUUAUCCGGAUUUAUUGGGUUUAAAGGGAGCGUAGAUGGGUUGUUAAGUCAGAUGUGAAAGUUUGCGGCUCAACCGUAAAAUUGCAGUUGAUACUGGCGGUCUUGAGUACAGUUGAGGUAGGCGGAAUUCGUGGUGUAGCGGUGAAAUGCUUAGAGAUCACGAAGAACUCCGAUUGCGAAGGCAGCUUACUAAACUGCCACUGACAUUGAUGCUCGAAAGUGUGGGGAUCAAACAGGAUUAGAUACCCCAGUAGUC